UUAUAUUACAGAGGCACUGAUCUGCCAUUUCUGUGAGGACCUCUCAGGACCCAACUGCAAAGCCACAAAAAGUGAGACCUGCCCCAAGGAUGUCAAAAAAUGCUACACAAAUCUCAUGAUGGAGAAAUUUGGACCUUUUACCGUUUACCAGAGUACAAGAGGAUGU